rnacentral:lncRNA from 1 species
AAAAACCCUACUCUCUGUCUUCACUCCCUCCUCUCCCGUAACCCCGUCUCCAUGUCUCAAUCGCUAACAAUCUGGCUUUCUCCGACGAGAAACACGCUGGAAGUGUGUAUGUGGUUGGCGGCGCUGCAACGUCGCGAGGACUCUCCGAUCGUCCCUACGAUUGGUGACGCUAAAUCGUCUUUGUAUACCUUCUUCACGUUACCAUUGAAGUUGAAUCCUCUCUCUAUACCCCCUUCUU